rnacentral:rRNA from 1 species
GACGAACGCUGGCGGCGUGCCUAAUACAUGCAAGUUGAGCGCUGAAGGUUGGUACUUGUAUCAACUGGAUGAGCAGCGAACGGGUGAGUAACGCGUGGGGAAUCUGCCUUUGAGCGGGGGACAACAUUUGGAAACGAAUGCUAAUACCGCAUAAAAACUUUAAACACAAGUUUUAAGUUUGAAAGAUGCAAUUGCAUCACUCAAAGAUGAUCCCGCGUUGUAUUAGCUAGUUGGUGAGGUAAAGGCUCACCAAGGCGAUGAUACAUAGCCGACCUGAGAGGGUGAUCGGCCACAUUGGGACUGAGACACGGCCCAAACUCCUACGGGAGGCAGCAGUAGGGAAUCUUCGGCAAUGGACGAAAGUCUGACCGAGCAACGCCGCGUGAGUGAAGAAGGUUUUCGGAUCGUAAAACUCUGUUGGUAGAGAAGAACGUUGGUGAGAGUGGAAAGCUCAUCAAGUGACGGUAACUACCCAGAAAGGGACGGCUAACUACGUG